AUUGAACGCUGGCGGCAUGCCUUACACAUGCAAGUCGAACGGCAGCGGGGGAGAAGCUUGCUUUUCCUGCCGGCGAGUGGCGAACGGGUGAGUAAUACAUCGGAACGUGCCCUGUAGUGGGGGAUAACUAGUCGAAAGAUUAGCUAAUACCGCAUACGACCUGAGGGUGAAAGGGGGGGACCGCAAGGCCUCAUGCUAUAGGAGCGGCCGAUGUCUGAUUAGCUAGUUGGUGGGGUAAAGGCCUACCAAGGCGACGAUCAGUAGCUGGUCUGAGAGGACGAUCAGCCACACUGGGACUGAGACACGGCCCAGACUCCUACGGGAGGCAGCAGUGGGGAAUUUUGGACAAUGGGCGAAAGCCUGAUCCAGCAAUGCCGCGUGUGUGAAGAAGGCCUUCGGGUUGUAAAGCACUUUUGUCCGGAAAGAAAUGGCUCUGGUUAAUACCUGGGGUCGAUGACGGUACCGGAAGAAUAAGGACCGGCUAACUACGUGCCAGCCGCCGCGGUAACAC
rnacentral:rRNA from 1 species